AAUCAACGCUGGCGGCGUGCCUAACACAUGCAAGUCGAGCGAGAAAGGGUAGCAAUACCUGAGUACAGCGGCGCACGGGUGAGUAACACGUGGGUAAUCUGCCCUGGAGUGGGGAAUAACACCGGGAAACCGGUGCUAAUACCGCAUACGAUGACGAGGUCUGCGGAUUUUGUCAUGAAAGGAGCAAUUCGCUCCAGGAGGAGCCCGCGGCUGAUUAGCUAGUUGGUGAGGUAAUGGCUCACCAAGGCUACGAUCAGUAUCCGGUCUGAGAGGACGGUCGGACACACUGGAACUGAGACACGGUCCAGACUCCUACGGGAGGCAGCAGUGGGGAAUUUUUGGCAAUGGGGGCAACCCUGACCAAGCAACGCCGCGUGGAUGAUGAAGUAUCUCGGUACGUAAAAUCCUUUCGACAGGGAAGAAACCCGCAAGGGUUGACGGUACCUGUAGAAGAAGCCCCGGCUAACUCCGUGCCAGCAGCCGCCGUAACAC
rnacentral:rRNA from 1 species